UACAGAGGAUGCAAGCGUUAUCCGGAAUGAUUGGGCGUAAAGCGUCUGUAGGUGGCUUUUUAAGUCCGCCGUCAAAUCCCAGGGCUCAACUCUGGACAGGCGGUGGAAACUACCAAGCUGGAGUACGGUAGGGGCAGAGGGAAUUUCCGGUGGAGCGGUGAAAUGCGUAGAGAUCCGGAGGAACACCAGUGGCGAAGGCGACACGCUGGGCCGUACCUGACGCUAAAGCGCGACAGCAUGGGGAACAAACGGG
rnacentral:rRNA from 1 species